GCUGCAACUGUUUAUUAAAAACACAGCACUGUGCAAAAUCGUAAGAUGACGUAUACGGUGUGACGCCUGCCCGGUGCCGGAAGGUUAAUUGAUGGGGUUAGACUUCGGUCGAAGCUCUUGAUCGAAGCCCCGGUAAACGGCGGCCGUAACUAUAACGGUCCUAAGGUAGCGAAAUUCCUUGUCGGGUAAGUUCCGACCUGCACGAAUGGCGUAAUGAUGGCCACGCUGUCUCCACCCGAGACUCAGUGAAAUUGAAAUCGCUGUGAAGAUGCAGUGUACCCGCGGCUAGACGGAAAGACCCCGUGAACCUUUACUACAGCUUGGCACUGAACAUUGACCCUACAUGUGUAGGAUAGGUGGGAGGCUUUGAAGCACGUACGCCAGUAUGUGUGGAGCCGUCCUUGAAAUACCACCCUUGUAGUGUUGAUGUUCUAACGUCGACCCCUUAUCGGGGUUGCGGACAGUGCCUGGUGGGUAGUUUGACUGGGGCGGUCUCCUCCCAAAGAGUAACGGAGGAGCACGAAGGUGGGCUAAUCACGGUUGGACAUCGUGAGGUUAGUGCAAUGGCAUAAGCCCGCUUGACUGCGAGAAUGACAAUUCGAGCAGGUGCGAAAGCAGGUCAUAGUGAUCCGGUGGUUCUGAAUGGAAGGGCCAUCGCUCAACGGAUAAAAGGUACUCCGGGGAUAACAGGCUGAUACCGCCCAAGAGUUCAUAUCGACGGCGGUGUUUGGCACCUCGAUGUCGGCUCAUCACAUCCUGGGGCUGAAGUCGGUCCCAAGGGUAUGGCUGUUCGCCAUUUAAAGUGGUACGCGAGCUGGGUUUAGAACGUCGUGAGACAGUUCGGUCCCUAUCUGCCGUGGGCGUUGGAAGAUUGAAGGGGGCUGCUCCUAGUACGAGAGGACCGGAGUGGACGAACCUCUGGUGUUCGGGUUGUGUCGCCAGACGCAUUGCCCGGUAGCUAAGUUCGGAAUCGAUAACCGCUGAAAGCAUCUAAGCGGGAAGCGAGCCCUGAGAUGAGUCUUCCCUGAUACUUUAAGUAUCCUAAAGGGUUGUCGGAGACUACGACGUUGAUAGGUCAGGUGUGUAAGUGCUGUGAGGCAUUGAGCUAACUGAUACUAAUUGCCCGU
rnacentral:rRNA from 1 species